CUUUAAAAUAUGUAGUCUUAUGUUAAUAAAUGAUUAAAAAUAAUUAUGUCGUGUUUGAAUACUGUAGUAUAUUUAUGCAAAGAAGUAUUUGAUGAAAACAGUCAACCAACACAAAUCGAGAUUGAAGAGCAAGCAUCGCGAUUAGGAAUAGACAUAGUGAAAGAGAUACAUCUUUUGAGUAUUGCUAAACAAUGUUUACUUGAACCAUUGCCUGACGAUUGGGUUCCUUGUUAUAUCAAAAAAGAAAAUAAGUAUUUUUACUAUAAUAAACAAAGUAAAAUAUCUCAAUGGGAACAUCCUUUAGAUGAAUAUUACAGACAGAUAGUCGAAAAAACACGUUCAGAAGAUUGUUCAACAGGACAAGACAUCUCAUUAAACGUAAUUCUAGACGAAGAAAAUUUACUUGACACUACAAUGUACCAUCAUUCAAAAAAUAGUAACUAUGAAAAAAAAACGGUUGCUGAAAAACGAACCGUACGCUUUAAGACUCCUAUAGAAGAAUCUUUAGAUCUAGAUGAAUCCGAAGACAAUAUGAAGUUUUUAGGACCAAUAAAGUUAAACACACCUUUCACAAAUACAUCAUCUACUUUACACAAUUUACCCCAAUUUUCAACAACUAAUACUUAUGAUAUAAGAAAUACAGCUAGUCGAAGUGUACUUUCCAAAUACAAUAUAUUACCAAGCAAAGACGAACAGUCCAAAAAGUCUGAAUUAGUUGAAAAUAUUAAAAAAACAAUUUAUGAAGACCCAACUACGAAUUUAGACUAUACUACAGGAAAAGAAAAUUUAAGAAAAAUUGAUAUAACUUUGACGGAAUCUUCUGAUCGGUCAGAAAGUACUUCAUCUGAAAUUCAAACAGACAACUUGAACAGCGACUAUGAAGAUCAAAAGGAAAAAGAUAAUAUUAUAACAUCAGUUCAAUUGAAUAAACGCCAUGAAAAGAUCGAUACUGUCGAUGAUGAUAUAAAAUCUGCAAUCGAUAAUUUCAAUGAAUUUCAAUCUAUAGGAACUGCAAAAUCAUAUAAUAUUAAAAAAGAUGAUUUGGUCAGUGAUAGUGGAAAUUCUACAGCAAAAGAUUCUAAAAUAAUACAAUCAUCAAUAGCUUCUAAUAGUCUGUCUGCAACUAAAAAUAAAAUGACAGAGAUAACCCAACGAUUUCCACUUAACCAAUUUUCGAACGAAACAAAAUUAUUUAAAAGAAACCCAAGUGAUGAAGGCAUUUUUGAUGUAAAGUCUAAUUGUAUAAAAUCCAAGAUUGAAUCGGAAAAUAAUUUGGAACAUGAGAAAUCAACAUUAUUAGAUGAUGCACAUAUUAAAAUUAAAAUAGAAAAGCAUUGUGAUUUAUUAAAAAAUGAAUUAGAAAAUACAAUUAGAACAAACCAAGAUAUAUUAAGGGAAGAAUUGAUUAAAAAGAUCGAUGACGUUAUUCAAAAACAAAAUGAUAAUUUUGAAAAACAUAUUGAAGUACGACACAAUGAACUUAUUUCUAAAAACGAAUCACAAUUAAAAAAUAUACAAGAAAAUACUGGAAAGUCCUUAAUUGAAGAAUGUGACAAGAAAUAUAUAGAACAUAUUUCAAAUACUGAACAAAUGUAUGCAGACAAUUUAAAAAAAUUUAAAAAAGAUUUAGAGGACUAUACAGAUUUAUUUAAACAUAAAAUACAGUCAGACCUUGAUAUAAUAUCUAACGAAUUAAAAAAAGAUUUUGCUAAAAAUAUCGAAAUAAUAACCGAUGGCUGGAACCAAACAUUAGGAUCGAACAAAAACGACGAAUUGGCCAAAGCAAAACAUAAUUUUGAACAAAGUACAGAAAAUAUUAAACGUGAAAUGGAACUUGAAAUGCAGCAGUUUCACGUAGAAUUCAAUGAAAAACUCAAAAUUAUAUCCGAAGAUAAAUUAAAUAGCAUUUCAGAGAAAUUGGAUAUGGCUUUGCGAGAGGAAAUCGAUUUAGUUAAAAAACGUGUUAAUGAAAGUUCUAAACAUGAUAUAAAUAAUAAAACUACGAAUCAUACAUCACAACCAAUCAUACAACCAAAGUUAUGCAAUGACUGUCCAGAAUUGAAUUUAAAGUGUCAAAAUACAGACACGCAAAGAAUUAAUUAUAGCGACAUAAGAAAAAAAAUUCAACACUGUUCGAAUGAAUUAAACGAUCUUCUAAAAUUGGUUAAUGAAAUAUCAUCAACAAAUGAAAAAGAACAUAACACAAAUGUAUGUCCUGAUAAAUGUUCAGUUUCAUGUCAAACUGAGAAUAUAACUAAUCCAUGUAAAAAAUCAAGUCUAAAAGAAUACAUUUAUCCUGCCGAGUCAUCAAGUACGCAGUCAAUAUUUAAUAACCCAUAUGUGUCUAUGCCAGAUGUUAACACAAAAUACGCUAAUUAUUUGAGUCAAGCAAAGAUGUCCGAUGAUCUAUAUUCUAACUACUUAACACCAUAUUCUCAACAACUUAACUACAGCCCAUUACAUAUUUUAAGUCAGAAUUAAAAGUGAAAGCUGCAGAACAAAAUAUAUGUCGUUUAAUCGAGACGUUCAACAAUUUCAAGCACGACAAUAUUAAUCAUAUUCCCAAUAAUACUAAUAUUUCUGAUGAAUACAAGUUUA
rnacentral:misc_RNA from 1 species